AUUACCUCAUGUGUUUCACCUGGGCCUGGUGUUGCAUGCCUCCCUUUUGACCCGUGGCUAUGCAGAUUUCUGCUCAUUUGAUUCGGAUUUCAGCGGUGUUUCUCCUGGGUAGCAGAGACCUGAACCUCAUUUUCUAGCAGAGCAGGAAGAUACUUGGAGAAGAUUGAAGAUCUGGCUGAUACUAAAGCUGCUUGUGGC